rnacentral:rRNA from 1 species
AAUGAGGUAGGGUACUGGCAACAGUGCUCUGCUGAAAUAUUUUCACCCAUGUCUUUUGCGCACUUUUUGUUUCCUGGGCGAGUUUGCUCGCCACCAGGACCCCCAUAUGAACCUUUUUUGUUUUUGCACUCAGCGUCAGUACAAUAAUUUAAUCUAUUAAAACUUUCAACAACGGAUCUCUUGGUUCUGGCAUCGAUGAAGAACGCAGCGAAAUGCGAUACGUAGUGUGAAUUGCAGAAUUCAGUGAAUCAUCGAAUCUUUGAACGCACAUUGCGCCCUUUGGUAUUCCAAAGGGCAUGCCUGUUCGAGCGUCAUUUGUACCCUCAAGCUUUGCUUGGUGUUGGGCGUCUUAUUGUCUCUCCGUCUCGGGGAGACUCGCCUUAAAACAAUUGGCAGCCGGCCUACUGGUUUCGGAGCGCAGCACAAAUUUGCGCUUGCAAUCAGCCAAGGGCGGCAUCCAUGAAGCCUUUUUUCUCUCACAUUUUGACCUCGGAUCAGGUAGGGAUACCCGCUGAACUUAAGCAUAUCAAUAAGGCGGGAGAGAAAUCAUGGGUCCCCAGGCUGA